rnacentral:rRNA from 1 species
UGGGGAAUUUUGGACAAUGGGUGAGAGCCUGAUCCAGCCAUGCCGCGUGCAGGAAGAAGGCCUUCUGGGUUGUAAACUGCUUUUGCCAGGGGAUAAAAAGCCCUUGCGAGGGACAUUGAAGGUACCUGGUGAAUAAGCCACGGCUAACUACGUGCCAGCAGCCGCGGUAAUACGUAGGUGGCAAGCGUUGUCCGGAUUUAUUGGGUUUAAAGGGUGCGUAGGCGGUUCUAUAAGUCAGUGGUGAAAUCCGGCAGCUCAACUGUCGAUGUGCCAUUGAUACUGCAGAACUUGAGUACAGACGAGGUAGGCGGAAUUGACGGUGUAGCGGUGAAAUGCUUAGAUAUCGUCAAGAACACCGAUAGCGAAGGCAGCUUACUAGACUGUAACUGACGCUGAUGCACGAAAGUGUGGGGAUCAAAC